GACGAACGCUGGCGGCGUGCUUAACACAUGCAAGUCGUGCGGUAAGGCCCUUUCGGGGGUACACGAGCGGCGAACGGGUGAGUAACACGUGAGCAACCUGCCCUUCACUUUGGGAUAACUGCCGGAAACGGUGGCUAAUACCGGAUAUGACUUCCUCACGCAUGUGGGGUGGUGGAAAGCCUUCGGGUGGUGGGGGAUGGGCUCGCGGUCUAUCCGCUUGUUGGUGGGGUGAUGGCCUACCAAGGCUUCGCCGGGUAGCCGGCCUGAGAGGGGGACCGGCCACACGGGGACGGAGACACGGCCCAGACGCCGACGGGAGGCAGCAGGGGGGAAUAUGGGACAAGGGGCGAAAGCAGGAGCCAGCAACGCCGCGUGAGGGAGGACGGCCUUCGGGUGGGAAACCGCUUUCGCCUGCGACGAAGCGAGAGGGACGGGAGCAGGGAAAGAAGCACCGGCCAACUACGG
rnacentral:rRNA from 1 species